rnacentral:tRNA from 1 species
AGUAACUUAGUUUAACCAAAACAUUAAAUUGCAAAUUUAAUAAUCAUCUA